CUUCCAGCUUGCAGGAACAUUGACUCUAACCACAUCUUACUUUUACAGGCAGUCUGGCUGGAGAUUUGUGUUGGAAUAACAUGCAGAAUCAGGCCCUCAAUUUACAAAUCAGCUUCAGUUUCCCAGGGAGGAGGAGAAGUGGAACACCUCAGCCUCUUCCCCCAUGCCUCCUAGUCUUGCUCACUGAUCUCAAAAGCGAUGCGGCUCAGCAUCGUUACACAGUUCCUGAGGUCUGGAUAUCACCAUCCCUCACAGCAGCUCUGGUUGCAGUGCUUGCUAAACGUCUGAAUUUCCUGCUGACUCAAUGAACAGUUUUCAGCUUGUGGUACAUUAUAUAGCUACCGGGUGAAUGGGACUGAGCAUUCCCGUUUGGCUCCAAGCACCACGUUCACCUGAGCUCGCUGGCAGGAUGAAUAGUUCACCGCGGUUCUAGUGCUAACCCCCUUUGUGAACUAGCAGUGAGCCAUGUACCUUAUUACAAAGGCCGACAGCUCCCUGGAAACUUAAAUCCACUCUUUUUCCUUCCCCUACCAUAGGGAGCUAUAAAAGAAAAGGACUUGGUUGGUAGGCAUGUAAUAUAACAAAAAGACCUCUGUUGUGGCAAGAUCCAGACUCCCCAGUAACAAUGAAGAUUAUGCUCUCGCAUCGAAAAUGUAGUUGCUAGCUUUAACUGUGGUACCUUAUUAUGGAUUCCUGCAGUGUGCAUUUAUGUCAGGGCUUGGAUGUUUAACUUAGGUCAAGUUCGGGUAGAAAAGAGCUCAGUAUCUCCUGUUUUGUUUUUUUUUUUUUUUUAAAUGUAGGGAAAAGAUGCAGCUCAAUAUGCAGUUUUGAUGCCACCUUCCCCCAAACCACUUCUCAGGGAGCUUUAAAUAGCCUGACACUGGCACUGGGCAGGAGCUGGCAGAAGAAUAGAUUUUUUUUCAUCUGAUGGCUCGCCAAGGUUGUUUUCAAGAAGGAGAAGUAGAAGAAGAAGGGAGAAAAAAAAAACCCAAACCUCUUUUUAAAUGCCAGUCAUUCAUUGCCUACCAGUUCCCAUGGUUCUCCUAUGGAUGGUAUCCACGUAACCAUUCAAAGUACAGUAAAUACUGAGGAAAGUGAAGAGAAACUCAUGAAGCAGAGAACAGGGAGGGAAAAUAGUUGGAUAUGGGAUCUAUGGUGGUAAGAGUCCCUGAGGGAUCAUUUCAAGAUGUACCGUGAAUGCUUACCUCAUUCCCAGCAGUGGCUGGAGCAGCAGUGCUGGUGGGAGGACCUCAUUUCUUCGGAAUGGGGAAACCAACAGGUGAUGCAGCAGCACCCAUUGUGGGCAGUGGGGAGGCAGUGGCAAGCACUUUUCUGGGGUAUCAAAUAUGGAAAAAGAAGGGUGUCUACAACUGUCAUUCAGCCGAGAUUGGGAAGAGAAUGUGUAGCCCUUUGCAGGCACUGGUAGACCCAGGGAAUUUGUACUGCCACAACUCUAUCUUCUUUUCUGCUCCUUCAACCUUUGGAAUGGAGAGGGUGGGUUUUUGUAUUUUUAGUUUUUAUUAAUAUUUAUUGUUUGAGUUUUGUUUCAUAAGUCAGGGAAGGAACAGAAGAAAGAAUAGGUGAAAUGUUAUAAGGUCCCUCUUACCUACGUGAUGCAUGGAUACAAAACCGUUUUUAUUACCUCCAGCAAACAUUCACCUUGGAUAAAUAGGACUCUGCUCAGCAAUAUUCAGCAGAACCACGGUGUUUCCUGGCUCCGGCCAUGAAGGCUCCGCAGGAUUUUCACUGCUCAGGUGUUGCAAAGCCUAAUCCUUAUUCAGGAACCAAAACGAUCCACUUUCCUUGCCUGCGGUGUUUGGAUCUCUGCCUUUGGCAGUAGCCCCAGACUCCUGCAGAAGAUGAAGACAUCCCUCCAUGCCUAUAGAUGGAAAGGCGCCAACAUGGAUGCCAUCAGAAGGACGCAGCUGAGCAUAUGCUGAGAAAAUUGUGGCAUCCAUACUGUAGAUGGGGAAGGGCUGACUGAACACACCAGUUUGUUGAAGCUUAUGGCCCUGAAAAGGAAACAUAGGUUUCCUGUAAAUGUCAUUCAGGGAUAUGCUAACUGUUAUUUCCUGGCGCUGGAUCAUGAUGCUUUCAACACAUUCUGUUCCUCUACCUCUGCUGCCUGCAUGCCUGGCUGUGCACAGCGAUAGCUCUCCUGUCUUCUCACCUUUCCCUCCUCCCUGCAUGAGGCUAAGGUACUGUUUUCAAGUGGAAAUGUCAGCAAGCAAGAUGUAUUGAGAGAAACCGGAGCCAAGCAUCGCUUCUGUACAUCUGAGGGAGCAACAGCGUCUCGGCAUCGCAUUGUCCAUCUUCAGCCGGUACCUGGGCCUUGCUAAUCCAUCCCUCCAGCGCAAAGUAAUUAAAGAAAAAGAGGGUCGCUUGGGUGUCUCACACCGAUGCAGGGCUAUAGCAGGAGCGGCUUCACAGCAGUCAGAGGGUGCAAACCUCCUGUAAAUUAGCAGAAUCAACCCCAGCAUAUCACAAAUCCGCGUAAAUUUUGCAACAGUAGAUCUUUCCUCUGGAUGGUUUGCAGUUUUGCUCUCUGGAAGCAGUAAACUGCAUUUCAGCAAUACGUGUAGUAUGGACGUGUGUUUGCACCGACUGGAAGGUUUCCUUGCAUGAGUUGCGAGCAAGGUUUGGGUGGCAGUGAUUGUGCUGCAAGGUGUGAAACCCAGCCACAGGGUUUGAUCUGCUCCACCACAAAGCUGGUUGUUGUGAGGGGAGUCUGGGAGCACAAGGAAGGCAAGUAGUAAAGUUGCCAACUGCUUGCUCCCUGCUGUGAUGGGGAUUUUGGAGGAUGAGUCCCGUCUAUCCCUGUUUCCCAGAGCUCUAACGGUGCAUGCACAGAAGGUGUGUUAAGCCUCUCUCAGCUGCCAUCUGAGCUCCCUACAGCACCCAGUACCUAAAAUUACAAGGGGAAAAAAAAAAAGAAGCCAUGUAACUCCAGCUUGAAGAUCUUCUAAGAGUGGCUCCAUCCUUUCUUGCCAACCUGAACUGACUCUUUGUGUUUGAAGACUGUCUGCUGCCAUCAAAAAAAACCCCUCAAAAUAUCUGUAAUCCACUAUUUUUGCUCACAACACAGGGACGGGCAUGCAGCCUGUCAUGCUCUGGAGGCACUGCUGAGCGUAGGGACUGCUGGACACGUAUUUUGGCUAAGUAGGAUGUGAACAGCACGUUGCACCUGGACAAUAACCUUUUAAUUUUUCUACAUACUUCGUAAACCCCUUGUAACACCUCUCUGAGAACAGCAAUAUGACUGUUUUAUUGGUGAAUAAACAGAGUUGCAGUGAUACUAAAUGAGUUCUUCAGCCUCAGGCACAAAGUAGCUGUGACUGGCCCGUGAAUGAAAAAAAAAUGGUUUUCAUCAGAAAUUUUUCAUCUCAGGAGUUGCCUUCCCUCCUUGAUUUUACACAGCCUGCACUUACCGAUCUGCUGAGGAACACGUUUGACUUAUUAAUUUAUUUAGAUCUUUUGUAAACCGUGGGAAACUUGGAGAGUGAGUUGGUUUUGAGUGCCUGGUGGUUGUUAAUAAUUCAUGCUUCAUGUGAAAAGAAAAUUGAUCAGAAGCAUCCUGGAGAGACCAAUCCAUGCUGCCUCUGCGAUCAGCUGAGACACAAACUAAAUACGAGGCAUGAACUAAAAGAUUGCUAAGAAAAACCGCACAGACCCACCACAAGCGGCGUGGAUGGCAAAGGGCAUCGAAGAGAAGAGGAGCACGGUGUCCUUUGAAGCCUGGUCAUGGAGACAAGGAUGUGGGAAAAGAUCCUGCAGCUAAAAGUGGUCAAAAGUUCUUACAAGGAGGACAAGAGCAGCUCUGUUUCCUGAAGGCAACACUCCAGAUCAAAUAGUCCUUUGUGGAAAUGUUCAAAAAAAACCCAAAACCCUCAUCCUGGGAUGAGAAUGAGCUCCAGCACCUGGGGCUGGAUGGGAGGUCAAAGGAGGAGCUGUGGGGGACAUCUGUAGAUGCUGCAGUUGAAGCUGAGCCAGAGUCGAUGAGACGAAACUGUUCUGUCAAAUGUAAGAGUUUAUAUUUUCUGCUGAAAAAAAUUAAUGUUCAGAAAUGAUUCCCAAAUGGAAUUUAGGAAGUGUUUGCUGAGCUCUAAUUUCAUCCUGGAUCCAUGGAUUCAUUUUUUUUUUGUCUAUGCUGUUGUUCCAUUUAAAGGUCCAUUAGAAAUCACACAUAUCUGACCCAGAAAGACAAGAAUUUCACAGUCUCUAAGGUAAACGUGCUGAAGCAAGGUUUCCUGGAGCCUAAGCCUUCACUCAGCUUUUCAUCUGGGAAUGGAGCCUCCUAUCCUUGUGCUCACCGCAGAGGGAGCUCAGGAGAAGGAUGAAGGACAGUUGUGAAGGAGGGUGCUCAGAGGGCACUGCAGGCACCUGCUCUUUCUGGAAGGGUUCCUGUUCCGGGGCAUGUGCCGGCAUUUGGAUAGAUACAGUGUUUUCUGCAGCUUUUUCAGAGUGCUGUGUCUACAGGCUGGUAUAGCAAAGACCACUGCUCUGUGUCACGCUCCCAUGGAGCCCACUGAAGCUAAGCCAAGUCUUGUAAGAUAUUGCUCCUUUACAAAGUUCGGCUGUUGGUGUUUCCCGACACCUUAAAAUUGUACAUCACUGAAUCCUGCAAAACAUGCAGAACUCUUCUCCAUGUCUAGGUCUGAAUUGUUGCCAUGAAGGUUUAUCCUAUCUCCAUAUACCCAACACUCAAACACCCUUCAGGAAGGGCUCUCCAGCCUCUCACCGAGUGUGGCGGUCUCUGCUGUGGAUUUGCACAAGUCGUCUAGAAAAGUUUCACAGGCGAGGAUUUGUGGGAUGAAGGUCGGAGUAAGGGGAACCAUACUUUCUGUUGCAUUACUCUGCCUUGCGGUUCAGCUGGAAGCUUUCACGCAUCUCAUAGGCUGCUUCGAGCCCGUGCAGUCUGCAAAGUGGAAAAAGGAAUUGAAGAAGCAAAAAUAAAUAUUAAAGCACGUAAGAAUUAAAUAUCACCUAUUCAAACAGCAAUUAUGCCGUUGAAAACAAGAUCACCACACCUGUACAAGAAAAGACAAGCAAGCCCAAAACAUCUGUUUGGAUCCACCUGCCAAGCACCUGUUCCGCUGUUUCAAUGCCAUUUGAUUGCUGGAGAUGUAGAGGCUCUUGUGAGAACUCUUUCCAUGUUGGGAACUGCAAUACAAAUCAGCUUAUGCUCCUCACCAUGAAGAAUUCAGUGGCUGUUUGGAAUCAUCUCCCAAAGUUGCGGAAGAGGUAGUAGUCCAAACUGAAAGAUACAGCUAAGCUCGUAGCAGUCCCUCUGCUUCUUCCCAAGCAACUCCAGCACCUUCAGGGGUCCACAGAUGAUUUGAUGCCUGGCUUGAAACAAAGUGCUCGGAGCACUACUAAAGGGUGUUUCAUACCUGAUAUGCCAGAUCCUGCACUUCCCAGGACAGGCAAGGUUGAAAAGCAGAUGAAGAGGUUGACAGCCCCACCAAGGGGCCAGAACCGUAUGCUUGAUUCUCAGUGAUAUAUUCACAUGGGAGGUAUUCUUGAACCGGCCAAGGACACAUCGUUUACAAGAAGCAACUCAACAGUUACUGAAUCACCAUCUGUGUUUUCGUUAACCUGAAUCAGAUAUGAAUUCUGUUAUUGCAAGGUUAUUUUUCAACACCCACAAGUAAAUGGAGAUGGAGACUACGAAUUUCAACACACGAUCUUUGCUAUUUAAUUAAAAUCACAGAGACUGGUUGGAAAGUUUUCAGCAAAGUGAUUUUUGCAUAAGGAGACUGCAGAUUCCUGAAAUCAGGAGAUCUUCCUUUUCAUAGAAAUUUGCCUGUUCAUAUCAGGAAAUAUUUUGGUUUUUUUUUUUUCUAGGAAAGAACUCCUCAUCUUAGCUAGAAACUGCACAAGAGCGUUCCUCUUCUGCAAGAGGAUUGCCCAAGAGAAGCAGCAGCGAGGGCAGGCUCACGGGAAGGAGGACACCCAGUGCAAUCCCUUCUUUUCCCCGCUCUCGGCAGCGGCUGUGCCUUGCCCUACCUCUUUCUUUUCCCUUCCUGUCUUUCCAGUUGGACUCACUCCGUAGCUGAGUCUAUUAACUAUUUGCACGGCCCAAGAUUGAAGCUUCUGCCCAAGGAUGAGGGAACUUACCGGAGCUGUGAAUCUCUGUGUUUAAUUAAAGCGAAUAGUGGGAUGGAACGGCUUGGGGAUGGAUGAUGGAGAGAAACCUUCAUUUGAGUUCCCGUUAUUUGUGCAAUGAUUCCUGGCUUGUUAAGUAUUCUAGAGUUGCUGUUUCUUUCUCUGGCUUAAGGAUUUUUGCUUUGCUCACUUUCACAUGGGUUUUUGCAUACAUGGAAAUAGGAAUACAGGAGAUUUUCAUCUUCCUUUUCCCCCUUCAGUUUAGAAAACUGUUUUUCAGCUACUGGCAGUCCUUCCUGUGUAAUAUUAACACAGCAAGAAUGAAAAGUAAUUGUUUUUCUUUACAUUUAAUUGUACGUAUGUGAUCUUAAGUAUAUUACAUGCUUCGCUUCAUGCUUCACCCACUCUUAAAAUAUGCAGAUAAAUGAGUAUCAGCAUAAGAAUAUUUUAAUAUGAACCUAUCUUCCUGUAAACAAUCUUCUAAAGAAGCCACUUAUCUUAAAAAAAAAAACCAACCCAAAAGCCUUAACCAAACCAAACUGAAAAAAAAAACCAAAACAAACUCAAAUGACAAAAAUAUGAACUCACGUUACUGAUACCGAAUUUUGGAUGUUUUAUUGGGGAAAAGAAAUAUGGACAGAUCACUUUUUCUCCUCACUCCAACAACACUUAAAAAUACCUGACACACCUUUUGUUUCCUUUUAGCAGUGAGAGAAAAUGAAUAUUUGACAUUUUCAUCCUAAAAAGCGAUAUUGGGACAAUCUUCUGUGUCUUUUUCUUGUCUGUGUUCUCUUCAUUUCCAUUGUUUUGCCUGUAUUUCAUGGGCAGGUGUCCAGUCUCUAGGGAACAAGGCAAUACUUGACAGUGACUGUGUUUUCCUUACAUCAUUUUACAGUAUAUUCUCACGUCUUCCAACAGCUCUGUGCUCAGGCAACCAGAGUUAUCAAAGUAUCUCCCGAGGCACGUAAUCCAUGAGGAACUCCAAGAAUUAGAAAGCGAGCUUCCAAACAGUGAAGACUAUAAAGCCAUCAUGAGGAAAGAAAAAGGAUGAAGGCUUUGCUGUCCUAUGGAGACUUGUCUACUACAUGGGAGGAAAGGGAAAGGGUUGGCUAUGAAGAGCUGCUGGAUGGUCUUCUGGUGCCCAGCAACACCAAGACAAGGCUGGCCGGUUCUGAGUGCAUCGCCUGGUCAU